GCCCAGGUGGCGGAAUUGGCAGACGCGCUAGCUUGAGGGGCUAGUGUCCUUUUGCGGACGUGGAGGUUCGAGUCCUCUCCUGGGCA
rnacentral:tRNA from 1 species